GUCUCCUUGUCCAGCUGGGCCAGGUGGGCAUCUCUGUAACUAUUAAGAUUCCUAAUUCUGUUUUUCUCUUCUCUAGCUUGGCUUGACCCCCUGGGAUUGACAUUACAUCAGACUUUCUAAUAAAACUCCACUCCUUUUUCCUAGAUAAACAGACUUCUGGCAUUUUCAUGCAUGAUUCAUAACUUUAUGUAAAUGCUCUGGCAAGCUGGAUGAAUGGACAUGAUCCAAUAAAGAUAUUGAGCCUGGUAAGUUCUUAAAGCUGUGCUCGAAUGGGAGGUGGCUGACACCAGGCAGGGGAUGCUCACUAGCAUCUUGAUAGUCUAGGGAUGAAGGCUAAACCACUGGAAGAGAAGAGAAAGAUAAGAGGUGGCUAGUUGGCAGUGAAGAGAUAGCAGAGUUUGGGGAGGUGGAGGUAUCAGGUGGUGGUGAGGGGUUUUGACAGAUGAGAGACUACAGGUGAAACUUUCAUCAGGGUCUGGAGCUUCCUGAAGACAAAGGCUAUUGGGGCCAACUGGGAUUUACUGAGCUUUAGCUAAUCCUGGGCUUGGAGAUACUCGGAUUACCUGUCUGGCCUAUUUGUUUGUGUGUUAUACAGAGAAUAAAACGCAGUAAAAGAGUGUUGAGAGCACAGAACUCCUCUGAAGUGGAAGGAUCCUUCUCACAGGAUGAAACCAUGUCUCACAUACUCCAGUAUUCUCAAAAGCCUAAUAUAGAACUGAGCAUGUACCAGAGCCUCAAUAUAUCUUUAUUUUUGUAAAUUAAAAAUUUAUACCGAUAUAUAAUGCAUAAGUGUGCC
rnacentral:lncRNA from 1 species